CUACUGGAAACGGUAGCUAAUACCGCAUAAUGUCGCAAGACCAAAGAGGGGGACCUUCGGGCCUCUUGCCAUCGGAUGUGCCCAGAUGGGAUUAGCUUGUUGGUGGGGUAACGGCUCACCAAGGCGACGAUCCCUAGCUGGUCUGAGAGGAUGACCAGCCACACUGGAACUGAGACACGGUCCAGACUCCUACGGGAGGCAGCAGUGGGGAAUAUUGCACAAUGGGCGCAAGCCUGAUGCAGCCAUGCCGCGUGUAUGAAGAAGGCCUUCGGGUUGUAAAGUACUUUCAGCGGGGAGGAAGGGAGUAAAGUUAAUACCUUUGCUCAUUGACGUUAUCCGCAGAAGAAGCACCGGCUAACUCCGUGCCAGCAGCCGCGGUAAUACGGAGGGUGCAAGCGUUAAUCGGAAUUACUGGGCGUAAAGCGCACGCAGGCGGUUUGUUAAGUCAGAUGUGAAAUCCCCGGGCUCAACCUGGGAACUGCAUCUGAUACUGGCAAGCUUGAGUCUCGUAGAGGGGGGUAGAAUUCCAGGUGUAGCGGUGAAAUGCGUAGAGAUCUGGAGGAAUACCGGUGGCGAAGGCGGCCCCCUGGACGAAGACUGACGCUCAGGUGCGAAAGCGUGGGGAGCAAACAGGAUUAGAUACCCUGGUAGUCCACGCCGUAAACGAUGUCGACUUGGAGGUUGUGCCCUUGAGGCGUGGCUUCCGGAGCUAACGCGUUAAGUCGACCGCCUGGGGAGUACGGCCGCAAGGUUAAAACUCAAAUGAAUUGACGGGGGCCCGCACAAGCGGUGGAGCAUGUGGUUUAAUUCGAUGCAACGCGAAGAACCUUACCUGGUCUUGACAUCCACGGAAGUUUUCAGAGAUGAGAAUGUGCCUUCGGGAACCGUGAGACAGGUGCUGCAUGGCUGUCGUCAGCUCGUGUUGUGAAAUGUUGGGUUAAGUCCCGCAACGAGCGCAACCCUUAUCCUUUGUUGCCAGCGGUCCGGCCGGGAACUCAAAGGAGACUGCCAGUGAUAAACUGGAGGAAGGUGGGGACGACGUCAAGUCAUCAUGGCCCUUACGACCAGGGCUACACACGUGCUACAAUGGCGCAUACAAAGAGAAGCGACCUCGCGAGAGCAAGCGGACCUCAUAAAGUGCGUCGUAGUCCGGAUUGGAGUCUGCAACUCGACUCCAUGAAGUCGGAAUCGCUAGUAAUCGUGGAUCAGAAUGCCACGGUGAAUACGUUCCCGGGCCUUGUACACACCGCCCGUCACACCAUGGGAGUGGGUUGCAAAAGAAGUAGGUAGCUUAACCUUCGGGAGGGCGCUUACCACUUUGUGAUUCAUGACUGGGGUGAAGUCGUAACAAGGUAACCGUAGGGGAACCUGCGGUUGGAUCACCUCCUUACCUUAAAGAAGC
rnacentral:rRNA from 1 species